rnacentral:lncRNA from 1 species
CUGCCACUGAGGAAGGUUUUCCUUCUGGAGGUCCCUCCCUUUGGAGUUUUUCUGCAAGCUUAGGGCACGGUGUUGGUAAUGCCUGUUCCCAAGGAGCAUUCAGCAGCAUCUCCAGAUGCCUGUUCAGCUUGGAGCAUUGAGCAGCACCUCCAGAGGACAAACUAAGGGAGAUACGACACUUAGGUUGUACCAGACCUGGAAAGUAAUUAUGCAUCAGCUACUUGGAAAGGAGACUUAAUGCCAGAAUUUAGAUCUGGCUUACAGUAACUUCAGAGACAUUCAGUGUGGGCCGAAUUUAUUGCAAAACUUUGCCCAGCAGCACAACAAGGAGGCUGGUCACUGAAGGCUUCCUAGUUUAAUUUUUACCUGAGUGAGUUUGUCACUACUUCCUAUCAGGCUGAAAUAUCUACUAGGCUAUUUGUAUCUUUGAAAUGAGCUCCACUUGCUUGAUUUCCCCUUUGUGGGAACUGACUUUCUAAAAUCUGAAGUAAACGCACUGUAAACUGGAGGGCCUGUGGAAAACUGGAUUUCAGUUUCUUAACAAAAUACAUUAAAGGAUGCUAGAACAGUGACAGGUUUUCCAACAAAGUAAAAUUUUCUCAUAUUUUAAUCACACUCAAGACCAUUUUCUGUCCUUAGAUAUAUUUGAAUACCCUGUGUGAAGUUGAACUAUUUCCAGAGAAUAAACUAAUAAAUGUAGAUAACUGCAUACGAGUGUGGCUCAGCACAGAAAUGCAGGAGCUGAUAUUUGAAGCACAAAAUCAAGUGAGAAAAAGGAGGUGACAAGGAUGAAUGGCAGAAAUGGAGAGGCAAGGAGGUACAGAUGUUGGCAUCAGCUCAUAAAAGCAGAACACUGUGCUACUCUUCCUUGCAGUGUCCAAUCCAGCAGAUGUAUUUUGAUCAUGUCCUCCAGAUCAGGUUUCACAGAUGAGCCUGAGCAAUUACAAAUUCUCGGCAGGG